GCCCAGAUGUCUCACAUGGUAGAGCAUCAGACGUUUAACCUGAGGGUCCAGGGUUCAAGUCCUUGUUAAGGUG
rnacentral:tRNA from 1 species